CUUGUUGGUAUGUGUAGACAGUAAGGAUCAAUAUCUUACUGGACCCACACCAAGAAGAUCUCCCCUGCAGUGAUUUUUCUCCAGAUCCUCCAAGUUACCAUCACCUAUAUCUUGAGGAGGCUCAUUGGUACGCCCGGCCAGUAAGGACCUAGGCCAUCAGGUCCUAGGACCUCUGACCCUCUGGGUCAAGUCCAUUACCGGACCCCCACCAUUGGAGCUCACUUGCAGGAGGAGACUUCCACAAGUCUCUGAAGCUAUUUCCCCUAUUUCUUGAGGACACUCACCAGUGUGCCUGGACAGUAGGGACCUACGACGACAGGUCCCAGGACCACUGACCCUCUGGGUCAAGUCCACUUCUGGCCCUGCCCCACACCCAUUGGAGCUCCCCUGCUGGAGAAUUCUCCAAAGCCUCCCAAGUUAAUCCCCUUGUUACUUGAGGAGGCAAAUAGGUGUGCUGAGCCAGUAAGGACCUAGGCCAUCAGGUCCUAGGACCUCUGACCCUCUGGGUCAAGUCCAUUACCGGACCCCCACCAUUGGAGCUCACUUGCAGGAGGAGACUUCCACAAGUCUCUGAAGCUAUCCCCCCUAUUUCUUGAGGACACUCACCAGUGUGCCUGGACAGUAGGGACCUACGACAACAGGUCCCAGGACCACUGACCCUCUGGGUCAAGUCCACUUCUGGCCCUGCCCCACACCCAUUGGAGCUCCCCUGCUGGAGAAUUCUCCAAAGCCUCCCAAGUUACUCCCCCUG